AGGAGAUACUUGAAGGCAGUUUGAAAGACUUGUUUUACAGAUUCUUAGUCCAAAGAUUUCCAAUUAGGGAGAAGAAGCAGCAGAAAAGGAGAAAAGCCAAGUAUGAGUGAUGAUGAGGCCUUCAUCUACUGACAUUUAACCUGGCGAGAACCGUCGAUGGUGAAGUUGCCUUUUCAGCUGGGAGCUGUCCGUUCAGCUUCCGUAAUAAAUGCAGUCAAAGAGGCAGUCCCUUCCCAUUGCUCACAAAGGUCUUGUUUUUGAACCUCGCCCUCACAGAAGCCGUUUCUCAUCAUGCCAAGCCAACAGAAGAAAAUCAUUUUUUGCAUGGCCGGAGUGUUCAGUUUUGCAUGUGCCCUCGGAGUUGUGACAGCCUUGGGGACACCGUUGUGGAUCAAAGCCACUGUCCUCUGCAAAACGGGAGCUCUGCUCGUCAAUGCCUCAGGGCAGGAGCUGGACAAGUUUAUGGGUGAAAUGCAGUACGGGCUUUUCCACGGAGAGGGUGUGAGGCAGUGUGGGUUGGGAGCAAGGCCCUUUCGGUUCUCAUAUAAAGGAAAUGUAGUACAACUAAACAUCAGCAGUCAAAUGACCUGGCCAUGACUCCUGAGUGAGGACACUGGUAAACACCAUCAGGAUCCAAACACCUCUGUAUUUACGAAGAGGAUGCUCCCUAUUGGAUAGCACUAAGCUUAUUUCAUUUUUUCCAGAUUUGCUCAAAGCAAUCCCAGUGAGCAUCCACGUCAAUGUCAUUCUCUUCUCUGCCAUCCUUAUUGUGUUAACCAUGGUGGGGACAGCCUUCUUCAUGUACAAUGCUUUUGGAAAACCUUUUGAAACUCUGCAUGGUCCCCUAGGGCUGUACCUUUUGAGCUUCAUUUCAGUUGCCCUUUGGCUGCCAGCUACCAGGCACCAGGCUCAAGGCUCCUGUGGCUGUCUUGUCAUGAUAUUGUUUGCCUCUGAAGUGAAAAUCCAUCACCUCUCAGAAAAAAUUGCAAAUUAUAAAGAAGGGACUUAUGUCUACAAAACGCAAAGUGAAAAAUAUACCACCUCAUUCUGGGUCAUUUUCUUUUGCUUUUUUGUUCAUUUUCUGAAUGGGCUCCUAAUACGACUUGCUGGAUUUCAGUUCCCUUUUGCAAAAUCUAAAGACGCAGAAACAACUAAUGUAGCUGCAGAUCUAAUGUACUGAAAGGCAAACCUUUCUAUAAUUUUACAAGGGAGUAGACUUGCUUUGGUCACUUUUAGAUGUGGUUAAUUUUGCAUAUCCUUUUAGUCUGCAUAUAUUAAAGCAUCAGGACCCUUCGUGACAAUGUUUACAAAUUACGUACUAAGGAUACAGGCUGGAAAGUAAGGGAAGCAGAAGGAAGGCUUUGAAAAGUUGUUUUAUCUGGUGGGAAAUUGCUUGACCCAGGUAGUCAAAGGCAGUUGACUAGAAUCGACAAAUUGUUACUCCAUAUAUAUAUAUGUGUGUGUGUGUGUGUGUGUGUGUGUGUAAGAUGUCUUCCUAUCAAAAAGAUAUCAAAGGCACAUGGAAUAUAUUUUAAUAAAAACAAAUAAUAUCUCUAAUAUAUCCACACAUUUGUUGCCAGAUUUCAGAAAACUGAGCUGCAAUCGCUUUCCUAAAACAGUAGUGUAUUAAAUGAACAUCUAUAAAAUGUAUCAACACACAUUUUAAAAAAUUUGUUUAAAGUAUACUCUUAGGCCAGGCGUGGUGACUCACACCUGUAAUUCCAGCACUUCAGGAGGCCAAGGUGGGAAGAUCAUUUGAGUUCAGGAGUUCGAGUUACAGCCUGGGCAAUAAAGUGAGACCCUGUCACUAACAAAAUUAAAAAAUAAAAUAAAUAUAAAAUAUAGGCUUUAAAAAAGCAUAGUCUUAUUAACCAUGUCUGUUGGUCAAAAUCUGCAAACUCUAAAAGAAGAAAAGAAGAAAAAACCAAGCUUAGGGUAUUUUUCCUCCCGUGCCUGAGUCCCAAUUACAUUCACGACAGUACUUUCAAUGAACAUAAUUGUUAGGACCACUGAGGAAUCAUGAAAAAUGAUCUCUGCUUAGUACAUUUGAUGCAAAAUGACUUAUUAGGGGCUGUUUUUCUAGCUAUAGUGUCUCGAGUACUAAUAUGCAAUUAUGAAAAUUAUAUUAAAUCUGGGAUUAUGACGGUAUCACUGUAUCAUCUUGGUCUUGUUCUGGCUGUCACCAAGCAUGACCCAGGUCAACUUUUUUUUUCCCCUGAAUUACCCAUCAAAUUGAUCUGCAGCUGACUAAAGGCCACAGCUGAGCCUGGAACUGACCCUUCCUUCAUCCUCAACCUGCUGUCCUCCAGAAAGCACCAAGGAAAAAGCAGAGAAUGACAGCAAACAGAUCACUAGGCCUCUGACCACAGGUGCUGAGUACUCAGCAGCCCUCAUAUAAUAGGUUUGAAAGUACUCCUUAAAAUAAAACACUGUUUCCCUUUGGAACUAUUUACAAGGAUGAAACAACCGUAUACCUGAGAAAUAACUUGCUCUGGUGUCAAUUCGCUAUUCGCCAGCAGACAUCAGAACACACCGAGUUUCCAGAUGCU
rnacentral:lncRNA from 1 species